rnacentral:rRNA from 1 species
UAAACCUGAGAAACCCAAAAGAUCGAAUGGGGAGAUUCAUCGUCAGCCGGAUUGGCCUCCGUGCGGUUCGCGAUGUUCGGCGUGGUCUUCGGGCCAUCGUUGGGCACGCGUCCGCCGCGGUACGUCCGGUUCGGUCGGCGUGCACUUCUCCCCUAGUAGGACGUCGCGACCCGUUGGGUGUCGGCCUACGAGGCGCGGAUCGUCGACUGUCGCGUCGCGUUCACGCGCGCACGCGGCAGACGCCGCCCAUCCGGCCGACUGCCCGGCGGUACAGAACGCUUUUGAAUUACGGUAAAGAGCCGCACCAAGUGCGUCCGGCUCGUCGGCAGGCUCGUCUCGCUCGGAUUUACGGACCUCGUUCGUUGCCGGGCCUUGGCGCGGCCGUUGGUCGACGAAGCUCUCGGACCGGCUCGGCUCGUUCGA